rnacentral:rRNA from 1 species
UACGGAGGGAGCUAGCGUUGUUCGGAAUUACUGGGCGUAAAGCGCACGUAGGCGGCUUUGCAAGUCAGAGGUGAAAGCCUGGAGCUCAACUCCAGAAUUGCCUUUGAGACUGCAUCGCUUGAACACGGGAGAGGUGAGUGGAAUUCCGAGUGUAGAGGUGAAAUUCGUAGAUAUUCGGAAGAACACCAGUGGCGAAGGCGACUCACUGGACACAUAUUGACGCUGAGGUGCGAAAGCGUGGGGAGCAAACAGG